rnacentral:rRNA from 1 species
UACGUAGGUCCCGAGCGUUGUCCGGAUUUAUUGGGCGUAAAGCGAGCGCAGGUGGUUUAAUAAGUCUGAUGUAAAAGGCAGUGGCUCAACCAUUGUGUGCAUUGGAAACUGGUAGACUUGAGUGCAGUAGAGGAGAGUGGAAUUCCAUGUGUAGCGGUGAAAUGCGUAGAUAUAUGGAGGAACACCGGUGGCGAAAGCGGCUCUCUGGCCUGUAACUGACACUGAGGCUCGAAAGCGUGGGUAGCAAACAGG